GCCGGGUUAGCUCAGUUGGUUAGAGCAUGGUGCUGAUAACGCCAAGUUCACAGGUUCAAUCCAUGCUCACUGCA
rnacentral:tRNA from 1 species